rnacentral:rRNA from 1 species
CGGACGGGUGAGUAACGCGUGGGUAACCUGCCUCACACAGGGGAUAACAGUUGGAAACGGCUGCUAAUACCGCAUAAGCGCACGGUACCGCAUGGUACAGUGUGAAAAACUCCGGUGGUGUGAGAUGGACCCGCGUCUGAUUAGCUAGUUGGCAGGGCAACGGCCUACCAAGGCGACGAUCAGUAGCCGACCUGAGAGGGUGACCGGCCACAUUGGGACUGAGAUACGGCCCAA